GUGACAGGCAUAGAUAUAUAUAAACACUAGAUGGCUCAUGGGAGAUUUUCCAGCGUAGCUGACCGGCCGCCAUCUUGCUACAGUUAACAGUUACUCUGAUUCGCGUUAUGUAGCUGUUGUAAGAAGUACCUGACUAUGCCGGACUUUUGUGCAGCCUACGGAUGCUCUAAUCACCGCAGUCUGCAAACAAGAACCCGUGGGAUCACCUUUCACGUGUUUCCCAAAACCGAAGAGAGGAGGAGGCAGUGGGAACUCGCCCUAAGAAGGGACGGUUUUGUUUCCUGUGACAGGACAGUAACAGUUUGACCCGUUGUUGGGCCAAUCUGUUUUGUGCAUAUCAUUUUACUUACUUGCAGUUACAAAUAAAC